AGGGAGACAGGUGAUAAAAGUGGAGAAAAUGGAGUUAAAAUCAGUGGUACCAAAUUCAAAGCCUAAGGCAUUCGUCAAUGUCAGAGGUGAUUUGCUGGCAGACAGCAUUGAUAACUCUAUUAAGGAGGACUCUCUGGCAGCGUUGAUCCGGAUGCCCGGCGGGUGUGUCGAGCAGAACCUGGCCAGAAUCACGCUGCCUCUCAUUGCCGCCCAUUACCUGGACCGCAGUGGAAACUGGAACGCUGUGGGAAUAGAUCGCAGACAAGAGGCCAUCAAAUACAUCCAGACAGGUGCACAAUGAGACUCAAAUAUGAACGAACAUCAUUCUUUCAGAUGUUUUAGAUAAUUUUUUUAUAUUUUUAUUUUUUAUAGGUUAUGAAAAUCAACUUAAUUAUCGAAAAAAGGAUGACUCAUACCCUCCCUAUGCCAAAGAAGGCACCAGCACAUGGUACUCAUGCUAACACAUUACUGAUCACAGCUUCACAUUGAACAUGUGUCUGUCAUGUUAAUGUGUCUUUAUGUUCUGUCCAUCUCAGGAUCACUGCAUACGUGGUGAAGGUUUUCUCCAUGGUAAAAUCAUUUAUAAACAUCAAUGACAAGAAUCUGUGUGGCCCUCUGGUGUACCUGCUCAAGAAUAAACAGCAUCCUGAUGGAUCCUUUCAGGAGGACAAUCCUGUCUACGACACCAGUAUGAUGGUGAGUAUUGUUUGCGAGAAUAAAUGUGAUAACAUUAAUUGUAGUAGUUUCAUAAUAAUUAUUAAAAGGGUAAAACUGCUAUCUGAAUGCUUUCUCACAGUACUAACAUAUGUCGUUAUGUUCACUGUGUUGGUAUAAAGGGAGGCCUGCAAGGCUCUGAAUCCAGAGUGUCUCUGACCGCAUUCGUGCUCAUUGCUUUGGCAGAGGCACAAAAUGCUCUUACCUGCCAAGAGCCAGGCCUCAACAUACAGGGCAAUUCCAGUAAAGCAGUGGAGUAUCUAAGGCAGAAUUUCCCUCGACUGAAGAGGCCGUACACAGUGGCUAUAGCAUGCUACGCUUUAGCAGUAUCCAACCAUGGCUGCAUGAAGAGCAUGCUGUUAAAGUUUGCCUCAACGGGUACAUAAAUAUAUAACCUCAAUUUUUACAGUUACCUUUCCAAUAGGUACUGUUU
rnacentral:lncRNA from 1 species